rnacentral:rRNA from 1 species
GGCAGCAGUGGGGAAUAUUGCCCAAUGGGGGAAACCCUGAUGCAGAGACGCGGGGUGAGGGAAGAAGUAUUUGGGUAUGUAAAGUUCUUUCACCAGGGAGGUUAAUGACGGUCCCUGCUUAAGAAGUCCCGGUUAAUUAGGUCCCACCACCCGCGGUAAUACGUUGGGGCCAAGCGUUUUCCGGUUUUAUUGGUUGUAAAGGGAGGGUAGCCGCCAAGCCAAUUUUGAUGUGAAACCCCAGGGUUUACCCCUGGGAUUCCAUUGGAAACUUUCUGGCUGGAGUCCGGGAGAGGUAAGCGGAAUUCUUAGUGUAGCGGUGAAAUGGGUAGAUAUUAGGAGGACCACCAUUGGGGAAGGGGGCUUAUUGGACGGUAACUGACGUUGAGGUUGGAAAGCGUGGGGAGCAACCAGGAUUAGAUCCCUUGGUUGUCCACCCUGUAAAGGAUGAAUGCUAGGUGUUGGGGAGCAAAGUUGUUCGGUGCUGCCGCAAACGCAUUAGGCAUUCCACCUGGGGAGUACGUUCGCAAGAAUGAAACUCAAAGGAAUUGACGGGGACCCGCACAAGCGGUGGAGCAUGUGGUUUAAUUAGAAUCAACGCGAAGAACCUUACCAGGUCUUGACAUCCCGAUGUCCGGCCCGUAACGGGGCCUUCUCUUGGUAUCAUUGGAGACAGGUGGUGCAUGGUUGUUGUCAGCUGGUGUAGUGAGAUGUUGGGUUAAGUCCCGCAACGAGCGCAACCUUUAUCUUUAGUAGCCAGCAUUAAGAUGGGCAUUGUAGAGAGACUGCCGGGGAUAACCCUGAGGAAGGUGGGGAUGACGUCAAAUCAUCAUGCCCCUUAUGACCCGGGCUACACACGUGGUUCAAUGGGGUAAACAGAGGGAAGCGAAGUGGUGUCACGGAGCAAAUCCCAAAAAUAACGUCCCAGUU